UCACGUUAUAUUUUGCCUCUCACUGCAAUUAAAUGACAUCUGCCUUUCGAUGCCAGAUUAUAAACUUUUAAGGCUUGUGCACCUUCCUUUUCUCACACAGUAUAGCAGUGUAUCCUGUAAGUGCCGGGGCAGAACAAAUGUGUGGUGAAUUGAAUUCAUCUGAGACAAAUUGCUUUCCAUAGCAAUGCACAUGGAUCUUCAAUAGAGAAGUGACCUUGAAGAAGCAAAGUUAAACAAACCAUUUCAAAAGACCUUAACCCAGGGACGCCUGGGUGGCUCAGCAGUUGAGCAUCUGCUUUUGGCUCAGGGCUGGGGUUCCGGGAUCGAGUUCCACAUCAGGCAUCCCAUGGGGAGCCUGCUUCUCCCUCUGCCUAUGUUUCUCCAUCUCUCUCUGUGUCUCUCAUGAAUAAAUAAAUAAAAUCUUAAAAAAAAAAAAAAAAAAGAACUGUUGCAUUAUAGGUUUCCUAGCCAAUGAAUGAAAUAAAGAAGGGACAACAGACAGGCUCCAGCACCAAUAUUCUUUCAUCUAUAUAAUGUUUUUGUGAAACAAUCAAAAUUUUAACUUUUUACCCAGUUGUGUAGGCAUCUGUGCCAAAAGCAUGAGAGAAACACAGUCCUGAGGUAAUUGCCUCAUUAAAUGGACAUCUGUCUGCAACACUCCCUCAUAGGUCACAAAUCAUUUUAAAGGCUGAAGAAAAAGGAUGUGCGUGGAUUGAGAUU
rnacentral:lncRNA from 1 species